GAUUAAGUUAUUAAGGGCGCACGGUGGAUGCCUUGGCACUAGAAGCCGAUGAAGGACGUUACUAACGACGAUAUGCUUUGGGGAGCUGUAAGUAAGCUUUGAUCCAGAGAUUUCCGAAUGGGGAAACCCAGCAUGAGUUAUGUCAUGUUAUCGAUAUGUGAAUACAUAGCAUAUCAGAAGGCACACCCGGAGAACUGAAACAUCUUAGUACCCGGAGGAAGAGAAAGAAAAUUCGAUUCCCUUAGUAGCGGCGAGCGAAACGGGAAGAGCCCAAACCAACAAGCUUGCUUGUUGGGGUUGUAGGACACUCUAUACGGAGUUACAAAGGACGACAUUAGACGAAUCAUCUGGAAAGAUGAAUCAAAGAAGGUAAUAAUCCUGUAGUCGAAAAUGUUGUCUCUCUUGAGUGGAUCCUGAGUACGACGGAGCACGUGAAAUUCCGUCGGAAUCUGGGAGGACCAUCUCCUAAGGCUAAAUACUCUCUAGUGACCGAUAGUGAACCAGUACCGUGAGGGAAAGGUGAAAAGCACCCCGGAAGGGGAGUGAAAUAGAACCUGAAACCGUGUGCUUACAAGUAGUCAGAGCCCGUUAAUGGGUGAUGGCGUGCCUUUUGUAGAAUGAACCGGCGAGUUACGAUUUGAUGCAAGGUUAAGCAGUAAAUGUGGAGCCGUAGCGAAAGCGAGUCUGAAUAGGGCGUUUAGUAUUUGGUCGUAGACCCGAAACCAGGUGAUCUACCCUUGGUCAGGUUGAAGUUCAGGUAACACUGAAUGGAGGACCGAACCGACUUACGUUGAAAAGUGAGCGGAUGAACUGAGGGUAGCGGAGAAAUUCCAAUCGAACCUGGAGAUAGCUGGUUCUCUCCGAAAUAGCUUUAGGGCUAGCCUCAAGUGAUGAUUAUUGGAGGUAGAGCACUGUUUGGACGAGGGGCCCCUCUCGGGUUACCGAAUUCAGACAAACUCCGAAUGCCAAUUAAUUUAACUUGGGAGUCAGAACA
rnacentral:rRNA from 1 species